rfam:Stylonychia lemnae strain 130c genome assembly, contig: Contig10089
UCCCCAUUGGUCUAGGUGGCUAGGAUAUUCGGCUUUCACCCGGAAGGCCCGGGUUCGAGUCCCGGAUGGGGAG